rnacentral:tRNA from 2 species
GCGCUCGUAGCUCAGUUGGAUAGAGCAGUGGUUUCCUAAACCACGUGCCAGGGGUUCAAUUCCUCUCGGGCGCA